UGCAGAAUCCCGUGAACCAUCGAGUCUUUGAACGCAAGUUGCGCCCGAAGCCUUUAGGCCCAGGGCACGCCUGCCUGGGCGUCA
rnacentral:rRNA from 1 species